rnacentral:rRNA from 1 species
GAUGAACGCUGGCGGCGUGCCUAAUACAUGCAAGUCGAGCGAACAGACGAGGAGCUUGCUCCUCUGACGUUAGCGGCGGACGGGUGAGUAACACGUGGAUAACCUACCUAUAAGACUGGGAUAACUUCGGGAAACCGGAGCUAAUACCGGAUAAUAUAUUGAACCGCAUGGUUCAAUAGUUAAAGACGGUUUUGCUGUCACUUAUAGAUGGAUCCGCGCCGGAUUAGCUAGUUGGUAAGGUAACGGCUUACCAAGGCUACGAUGCGUAGCCGACCUGAGAGGGUGAUCGGCCACACUGGAACUGAGACACGGUCCAGACUCCUACGGGAGGCAGCAGUAGGGAAUCUUCCGCAAUGGGCGAAAGCUUGACGGAGCAAAGCCGCGUGAGUGAUGAAGGUCUUCGGAUCGUAAAGCUCUGUUAUUAGGGAAGAACAAAUGUGUAAGUAACUAUGCACGUCUUGACGGUACCUAAACAAAAAGCCACGGCUAACUACGUG